GCGGAGGAAAAGAAACCAACAGGGAUUGCCUCAGUAACGGCGAGUGAAGCGGCAAGAGCUCAAAUUUGAAAGCUGGCUCCUUCGGGGUCCGCAUUGUAAUUUGCAGAGGAUGCUUCGGGAGUGGCCCCCAUCUAAGUGCCCUGGAACGGGCCGUCAUAGAGGGUGAGAAUCCCGUCUGGGAUGGGGUGUCCACGCCCGUGUGAAGCUCCUUCGACGAGUCGAGUUGUUUGGGAAUGCAGCUCUAAAUGGGUGGUAAAUUUCAUCUAAAGCUAAAUACUGGCCGGAGACCGAUAGCGCACAAGUAGAGUGAUCGAAAGAUGAAAAGCACUUUGAAAAGAGAGUUAAACAGCACGUGAAAUUGUUGAAAGGGAAGCGCUUGCGACCAGACUCGCCCACGGGGUUCAGCCGGCAUUCGUGCCGGUGUACUUCCCCGCGGGCGGGCCAGCGUCGGUUUGGGCGGCCGGUCAAAGGCCCUCGGAAUGUAACGCCCCCCGGGGCGUCUUAUAGCCGAGGGUGCCAUGCGGCCAGCCCGGACCGAGGAACGCGCUUCGGCUCGGACGCUGGCAUAAUGGUCGUAAGCGACCCGUCUUGA
rnacentral:rRNA from 1 species